GGCGGGUGGGAGUGAUGACCUGCACUCCCCAAACCACUGCGGGAUAGAACGGGGCCGAGUGCUCUCAGGGGUGGCCGCUACCGGGGCGGCCCGAGACACGGCUGCGGGUUCCAGCCAACAGGCCCGGAGUCGCGGCCUCGGCUCCGCCGUGGGUGCACGGGCUAGGGCUGCGGGGACUCCUGUGGGCUCCGCGUCUGCGGCUGGGAGGAAUGGGGAUCGUCCCCAGAUCCCGCCUUCCGGGCAGGGCCUCCGCUGCCUGCGAUCCUGCCCACAGUCCAAGGAUCCUCCUCGCCUCUCGCGGACUGCGGUGUCAGCCGCCCGAGCCGUUCCCCGGACACCUGGCCAGGUGACGGCCCCCGACCUCCGCCUGGGGCGGGGGGGGGGGUGGUCUGCGAGUCCCCCUCACCCCCAGCAGACGUUCCCGAGCUCAGAAGGAAAAAAAGGACGAGGAAGGGGCUGCUUAUGAGUGUGUCGGUGUUGAUUUAGUAGUUGUGGAAUGUGAGCCCUGGGGAAAUAAGUGGAAGAGGCAUGGACCGUGUGGCUCCACUGGGGCGUUCGCGAAUGCCUCCUGGAGGAGGAGACCAACCAGAAAGAAGAGGCAGCGUCCAGCAACUGGACAAAGGCCAGAGGGCCUUUCUGGCAAGAGGACUGGGGUGAGCAGAAGCUGAUCCGGCUCUUUAUCCCUGGGCGCAAGUGCUGUGUGGCAUAGGUCAGUGAAGGCCUGAAAGGGAUGUUGAGCCAGCAGCAAAAGGCCUUGAGUGCCCCAUUAAAUAAGUUACAGCUGUGGCUGACGCCUGUAAUCCCGGCACUUUGGGUGGCCCAAGCGGGCGGAUUGCCUGAGCUCAGGGGUUGUAGACCAGCCUGGCCAACAUGGUGAAACCCCGUCUCUACUAAAAAUACAAAAAUUAGCCGCGCGUGGUGGCACGUGCCUGUAAUCCCUGCUACUUGGGAGGCUGAAACAGGAGAAUCGCUUGAACCGGGGAUGCAGAGUUUGGAGGCUGCAGUGAGCUGAGAUCACGCCACUGCACCCCAGCCUGGGCGAUAGAGCAAGACUGUCUCAAAAAAAAAAAAAAAUCACAUAUGUUGGCCAGGCAGGGUGGAUCACGCCUGUAACGCCAGCACUUUGGGAGGCUGAGGAUUACUUGAGCCCUGGAGUUUGAGAGCAGCCUGGGUAAAAUAGUGAGACCCCAUCUGUACUAAAAAAAUUAGCCAGGCAUGGUGGUGUACACCUGUAGUCCCAGCAACUGGGGAGGUCGAGAUGGGAGGAUUGCUUGAGCCCAGGAGGUCAAGGCUGCAGUGGGCUAUGAUCAUGCCACUGGACUACAUCCUGGACAGCAAAGCAAGACCCCAUUUCUAAGAGAAAAAAAAAGUGCCAUUUUGUAAAUGACUUCUGGGAUGCUUAUCUUGAUGUAGAAAGUCUCCUACCCCAAGAACAAACAGAUAAUUCCUGAACAGGGAUUGGCAAACAAUGGCCUCAGUGGGCCUUCUGUUUCUGUAAAGUUUUAUUGGAAUGCAGUCACACUUGUUUGUUUAGUAUUAUCUAUGCUGCUAUCUGGAAGAGUUGGGUAGUCAUGGCAGAGACCUUAUGGUCUGCAAAGCUGAAAAUAUUUAUUAUUGGGCUUUUCACAGAAAAAGAUUGCCUACAUGUGACCUACAAGAAUAUACACUUGUGGCCAGGCGCAGUGGCUCACGCCUGUCAUCCCAGCACUUUGGGAGGCUGAGGUGGGUGGAUCACCUGAGGUCAGGAGUUUGAGACCAGCCUGGCCAACAAGGUGAAACCCUGUCUCUACUAAAAAUACAAAAAUUAGCCGGGUGUGGUGGUGUGCGCAUGUAAUCCCAGCUACUCUGGAGGCUGAGGCAGGAGAUUCACUUGAACCUGGAAGGUGGAGGUUGCAGUGAGCUGAGAUCUUGUCACUGCACUCCAGCCUGGGGGACAGAGUGAGACUCAGUCUCAAAAAAUACAAAAAAGAAUAUACACUUGUGCCAGCACAGUACUUAGCACUAAGGAUUUCUCUUUGCCACUGAAUGGAAAAAACACCCUUGUUAUUAUUAAUGAUGUUAUGCUUUAUUGUUAACUUUAUUACUAGAUUAUUACUUUUACUCAUCUCUUCUUGCAUACUCUUCUAUUCUUCUGAUAUUUGUGUCUGUAUUAGUGCCUAUUUGAGCCCAUCUGCUUAAUAUGGUACAUUUUAGUAUCUAAUAAAGGGUGCCUGACUUUUU
rnacentral:lncRNA from 1 species